ACAGUAAAUUAAUAGGGCUUGUUUUCUUUUUCUAUCGUUUACUCAGGUAGCCCCACUUUUUCCUACCCAGCAACCCCUACCAAUACACAACCUCAGCCUAGACUACAGGUUAAAGCUGAAAACAACUUUGAGGAGAUCGGCAGAAGGAACAGUUGGUCCUCAAAUGCCUUACCAGCUGUCCCAAAAGGUUCUCCAAUCGAACAUCAGCACAACACCAGAAUUACAGAGCCUCCACCAAGACU